GACGAACGCUGGCGGCGUGCCUAAUACAUGCAAGUAGAACGCACAGUUUAUACCGUAGCUUGCUACACCAUAGACUGUGAGUUGCGAACGGGUGAGUAACGCGUAGGUAACCUGCCUGGUAGCGGGGGAUAACUAUUGGAAACGAUAGCUAAUACCGCAUAAUAUUAAUUAUUGCAUGAUAAUUAAUUGAAAGGUGCAAUUGCACCACUACCAGAUGGACCUGCGUUGUAUUAGCUAGUAGGUGAGGUAACGGCUCACCUAGGCGACGAUACAUAGCCGACCUGAGAGGGUGAUCGGCCACACUGGGACUGAGACACGGCCCAGACUCCUACGGGAGGCAGCAGUAGGGAAUCUUCGGCAAUGGACGAAAGUCUGACCGAGCAACGCCGCGUGAGUGACGAAGGAUUUCGGAUCGUAAAGCUCUGUUGUAAGAGAAGAACGGGUGUGAGAGUGGAAAGUUCACACUGUGACGGUAUCUUACCAGAAAGGGACGGCUAACUACGUG
rnacentral:rRNA from 1 species